rnacentral:rRNA from 1 species
UGAGGAAUUUUGCGCAAUGGGAGCAAUCCUGACGCAGCAACGCCGCGUGGGUGAAGAAGGCCUUCGGGUCGUAAAGCCCUGUCAGGUGGGAAGAAUGGCUUGGGGGUGAAUAAUCUCCGAGUAUGACGGUACCACCAGAGGAAGCACCGGCUAACUCCGUGCCAGCAGCCGCGGUAAUACGGAGGGUGUAAGCGUUAUUCGGAAUUACUGGGCGUAAAGCGCGUGCAGGCGGGUGGAUAAGUCUGAUGUGAAAGCCCUGGGCUUAACCUGGGAAGUGCAUUGGAAACUGUUCAUCUUGAGUACUGGAGAGGAAGGGAGAAUUCCCGGUGUAGAGGUGAAAUUCGUAGAGAUCGGGAGGAACACCAGUGGCGAAGGCGCCCUUCUGGACGGUUACUGACGCUGAGACGCGAAAGCGUGGGGAGCAAACAGGAUUAGAUACCCUGGUAGUCCACGCUGUAAACGAUGAUCACUAGGUGUAGCGGGUACUCAUUCCUG